rnacentral:misc_RNA from 1 species
UUUAAUUGGCUUUUUUCUACGUCGCGUGUACAACAACAACGCAAACAAAUCAAACAAAAAAAAAGCAGUGAGCGGUUGCAACAAUAAUGUAUACCAAUGUAACCGACAAACCAUACUCUUACAUAUACGCACGAACUAACGGUGUUGCAAGAAAAUCGCACUCAUUAAACAUUUACUUUUGACUUUUGUUGCUUGUCGGCGCCAACUUUUUGAUGUUUGUCAAAGUAAGGAAAAGCAAAAACAAAACAAAAAAAAAAUAAUCUACCGCCAAAGGUUAAUGAAAGCAGAACGGCGCAGUGCCCUUGGGGGCUGGAAACAUCGAAAAUCCCAAAGUGACGUUGGUCGAAAAGGAAGCUCCCAGGCUGUUGAACCGCGAGGCGGUAGACAAAAUUUACAUAAAUUGCAAUAAUAUGAAAUUAAAUUCUUCAGUUUGGAAUAAUUUAUACUUCCGGCCUUACAGUUAAAGCAUGGGAAGACCAGAAGUCACCAAACUCUCAUUCAUAUGCCAACUUCGUGGAAUAUCGGAGCUGUGACCAUUUGUUCGGCCGUGUGUCCAUUUUAAAUGAGGUAUGACCCACAUUAGAUGCACCCUCUUGCACUACCUUCAAGCAGCCGUAGAUUUAUGACUAGCCUCUGGUUUUGGUAUAUAAAAUGAGAUAAGAAAGAGGGAAGACGAAGGAGAAACCUCUACACGCAUAAAAGGUAGCCGCAAACAACACAAAGUACGAGCACUUUUAGAUAAUCGGAGCCGUAUAUUCCUCUACCACUAAGGGUAGGAUGAUCCAAGCACUGCUUCGGUCACUGGCAUGGAACUAAGAGUUACUUUCCUUUAUUUUUGAUACAUUCUUAUCGCAACUUCUUACCGUGCUCAACUGUCUAUUUGUUUCAAAUUUUAAAUACCUCUACCGCAAAAGCAUGAUCGCACUCACAAAAAGAAGUAUUCCAGUACCCCAGAUGGCUAUAAUCUGAACCAAUAUGUGCUUAAAAUUCGCAGGACUCCAACCGAUGUCAUCAGCAUACCUCUACAAUGGCACCAUCGGGCCCCGAAUACAAAAGUGUAAACUUUUAUCAAGCCGACAUAACUGCAAGAUCAACGACACUUCUCCUACAGAAUACUCGAGAUCGCCUGCCAAAUAUUUAUAUGGAUUUUUAAAAGAAUCGCCUGAAAAUUACUGGAUAUUAAUUUUCCACCACACGCACACCUUAGUGUUGUGUCCACUUGAGAUUACUACAACUGGCGCUGCCUUUAAAGAGCUACUGUCAUAGCUGAGGACCUCCUAAAAGUAUGCAGCGUAUUUCCAAGAAGCUUCGGUGAAUGCAAUAAAUCCAGUUUAUAACGCACCGAAAACAAAACAAAAACAAAAAGAAAAGCAAAUCACCAAGACCGACAGGCAUUGAUUGCCUACAUUCAGCCACAAAAUUUAAUUUAUCUAACAUUCACCGUUGUCCUUUACGUUGCGGUUUUUCAAUUCACAACACAUCACAAGCAAAAGAAUUUGCCGCCAGUUGGGUGAGGUAGAGCGUGCACGCUUUCGGUAGAUGGCUGAACAAAAGAAAGGGAUAACAACAACAAUGACACGAGUGUCACAAGCGUGCUGCACUCAAUGGUGGCGGUUAUGUGGUGGCAAUGGCAAAUGUUGUUGACGGCGUUGGAAAUGGAAAUGGUUGGUUGAAUCAUGUUGGCCUCGAUAUUGCUACGAAUUCCAUGUAUGUGGGAGUGUGUGUGUGCGUGUGUGUGGCACAUGUACUCCUGAAGGUGCUCGAAAUGAGGGCUUGUUGUUAUUUGCUGCUAUUUGGACUUGAUAUCAUCUGUGUAUGACAUUGAUAACAACAACAGCAACAACAAACCACAGCUGAAGCAUCAGGUACGGUAUUAGUGAGUAACAAAACCGCACUUUACUCAUAGCGAGGAAAUACGUACGCACUCAUACUUAUACAAUAAGUUUAUGAAGUGCCGAGUUUGGGAUUUCUGUUCUGUUCAUUUUCGCACCCGGUCUUAGUUUGCUGUACCGGGGUUACUAUAUUUAUUAGCUGAGCUGUUAAAAUUAUUC